rnacentral:rRNA from 1 species
UACGUAGGGUGCGAGCGUUGUCCGGAAUUAUUGGGCGUAAAGCGCUCGUAGGCGGUCUGUCGCGUCGGUCGUGAAAACUUGGGGCUUAACCCUGAGCUUGCGGUCGAUACGGGCAUGACUGGAGUUCGGUAGGGGAGACUGGAAUUCCUGGUGUAGCGGUGAAAUGCGCAGAUAUCAGGAGGAACACCGGUGGCGAAGGCGGGUCUCUGGGCCGAUACUGACGCUGAGGAGCGAAAGCGUGGGGAGCGAACAGG